GUCCUUUUAUUUGGCCUCAAAUCUAUCUAUAUUACGUGUGUCAGCUUGGCUGACUAUGGCGAUAAACGGCCGUCGGAAUAAGCCCAUCGGACCCGGGGGCAGUACCCGGCGCCUCCACCAUAAACCCGCUCUCCACAGGCGCGCUGCACGGGCGGACGCGGGUUUUUGAUGGGGGCGAACUAGGAUCGACGAGGGUGUAAAGGACGGACCUUCGCCCGGCAUGGUACCGCCGUUACAGGACCACAAACAGUAGUUGCGAACGACAACUAUGCUCCGGUUGCUCAGGCUGCGUAAGGCAGCUUAGGCACCGAAAUUCAAAGUCCUGGGCACUAAGCACGCCCAGGCGCGGUACGGAGGGCACCGGGCAACAGAAGCCCUCCAUC
rnacentral:tmRNA from 1 species